rnacentral:rRNA from 1 species
CCUACGGGUGGCAGCAGUCGAGAAUCAUUCACAAUGGGGGAAACCCUGAUGGUGCGACGCCGCGUGGGGGAAUGAAGGUCUUCGGAUUGUAAACCCCUGUCAUGUGGGAGCAAAUUAAAAAGAUCGUACCACAAGAGGAAGAGACGGCUAACUCUGUGCCAGCAGCCGCGGUAAUACAGAGGUCUCAAGCGUUGUUCGGAAUCACUGGGCGUAAGGCGUGCGUAGGCUGUUUCGUAAGGCGUGUGUGAAAGGCGCGGGCUCAACCCGCGGACGGCACAUGAUACUGGGAGACUAGAGUAAUGGAGGGGGAACCGGAAUUCUCGGUGUAGCAGUGAAAUGCGUAGAUAUCGAGAGGAACACUCGUGGCGAAGGCGGGUUCCUGGACAUUAACUGACGCUGAGGCACGAAGGCCAGGGGAGCGAAAGGGAUUAGAUACCCCAGUAGUC